UUCGCAAUGCCCGAAAGGGUGACGAAGCGACGCCGCGUGCGGGAAGAAGGCCUUCGGGUUGUAAACCGCUGUCGGGAGUUAAGAAAUGUAAGGAUGUUAAUAGCAUCUUUGCUUGACUAAGGCUCCGGAGGAAGCCACGGCUAACUCUGUGCCAACAGCCGCGGUAAUACAGAGGCGGCAAGCGUUGUUCGGAAUUAUUGGGCGUAAAGAGCACGUAGGCGGCUAUGUAAGUCGGUUGUGAAAGCCUUCCGCUCAACGGGAGAACAGCAUCCGAUACUGCAUGGCUUGAGUGCGGGAGGGGAGAGUGGAACUUCUGGUGGAGCGGUGAAAUGCGUAGAUAUCAGAAGGAACGCCGGCGGCGAAAGCGGCUCUCUGGCCCAUAACUGACGCUGAGUGUGCGAAAGCUAGGGGAGCAAACGGGAUUAGAUACCCCGGUAGUCCUAGCCGUAAACGAUGGGCACUAAGUAGAGGGGUUUU
rnacentral:rRNA from 1 species